rnacentral:rRNA from 1 species
AGUGAACGCUGGCGGUAGGCCUAACACAUGCAAGUCGAACGGCAGCACAGUAAGAGCUUGCUCUUACGGGUGGCGAGUGGCGUACGGGUGAGGAAUACAUCGGAAUCUACUUUUUCGUGGGGGAUAACGUAGGGAAACUUACGCUAAUACCGCAUACGACCUACGGGUGAAAGCAGUGGAUCUUCGGACCUUGCGCGGUUGAAUGAGCCGAUGUCGGAUUAGCUAGUUGGUGGGUUAAAUGCCCACCAAGGCGACGAUCCGUAGCUGGUCUGAGAGGAUGAUCAGCCACACUGGAACUGAGACACGGUCCAGACUCCUACGGGAGGCAGCAGUGGGGAAUAUUGGACAAUGGGCGCAAGCCUGAUCCAGCCAUACCGCGUGUGUGAAGAAGGCCUUCGGGUUGUAAAGCCCUUUUGUUGGGAAAGAAAAGCAGCAGGUUAAUACCACGCUGUUCUGACGGUACCCAAAGAAUAAGCACCGGCUAACUUCGUG